rnacentral:rRNA from 1 species
GGGUUGUGAGGUUAAGCGACUAAGCGUACACGGUGGAUGCCCUGGCAGUCAGAGGCGAUGAAGGACGUGCUAAUCUGCGAUAAGCGUCGGUAAGGUGAUAUGAACCGUUAUAACCGGCGAUUUCCGAAUGGGGAAACCCAGUGUGUUUCGACACACUAUCAUUAACUGAAUCCAUAGGUUAAUGAGGCGAACCGGGGGAACUGAAACAUCUAAGUACCCCGAGGAAAAGAAAUCAACCGAGAUUCCCCCAGUAGCGGCGAGCGAACGGGGAGCAGCCCAGAGCCUGAAUCAGUGUGUGUGUUAGUGGAAGCGUCUGGAAAGGCGCGCGAUACAGGGUGACAGCCCCGUACACAAAAAUGCACAUACUGUGAGCUCGAUGAGUAGGGCGGGACACGUGGUAUCCUGUCUGAAUAUGGGGGGACCAUCCUCCAAGGCUAAAUACUCCUGACUGACCGAUAGUGAACCAGUACCGUGAGGGAAAGGCGAAAAGAACCCCGGCGAGGGGAGUGAAAAAGAACCUGAAACCGUGUACGUACAAGCAGUGGGAGCCUCUUUUAUGGGGUGACUGCGUACCUUUUGUAUAAUGGGUCAGCGACUUAUAUUCUGUAGCAAGGUUAACCGAAUAGGGGAGCCGAAGGGAAACCGAGUCUUAACCGGGCGUUAAGUUGCAGGGUAUAGACCCGAAACCCGGUGAUCUAGCCAUGGGCAGGUUGAAGGUUGGGUAACACUAACUGGAGGACCGAACCGACUAAUGUUGAAAAAUUAGCGGAUGACUUGUGGCUGGGGGUGAAAGGCCAAUCAAACCGGGAGAUAGCUGGUUCUCCCCGAAAGCUAUUUAGGUAGCGCCUCGUGAAUUCAUCUCCGGGGGUAGAGCACUGUUUCGGCAAGGGGGUCAUCCCGACUUACCAACCCGAUGCAAACUGCGAAUACCGGAGAAUGUUAUCACGGGAGACACACGGCGGGUGCUAACGUCCGUCGUGAAGAGGGAAACAACCCAGACCGCCAGCUAAGGUCCCAAAGUCAUGGUUAAGUGGGAAACGAUGUGGGAAGGCCCAGACAGCCAGGAUGUUGGCUUAGAAGCAGCCAUCAUUUAAAGAAAGCGUAAUAGCUCACUGGUCGAGUCGGCCUGCGCGGAAGAUGUAACGGGGCUAAACCAUGCACCGAAGCUGCGGCAGCGACACUGUGUGUUGUUGGGUAGGGGAGCGUUCUGUAAGCCUGUGAAGGUGUACUGUAAGGUAUGCUGGAGGUAUCAGAAGUGCGAAUGCUGACAUAAGUAACGAUAAAGCGGGUGAAAAGCCCGCUCGCCGGAAGACCAAGGGUUCCUGUCCAACGUUAAUCGGGGCAGGGUGAGUCGACCCCUAAGGCGAGGCCGAAAGGCGUAGUCGAUGGGAAACAGGUUAAUAUUCCUGUACUUGGUGUUACUGCGAAGGGGGACGGAGAAGGCUAUGUUGGCCGGGCGACGGUUGUCCCGGUUUAAGCGUGUAGGCUGGUUUUCCAGGCAAAUCCGGAAAAUCAAGGCUGAGGCGUGAUGACGAGGCACUACGGUGCUGAAGCAACAAAUGCCCUGCUUCCAGGAAAAGCCUCUAAGCAUCAGGUAACAUCAAAUCGUACCCCAAACCGACACAGGUGGUCAGGUAGAGAAUACCAAGGCGCUUGAGAGAACUCGGGUGAAGGAACUAGGCAAAAUGGUGCCGUAACUUCGGGAGAAGGCACGCUGAUAUGUAGGUGAAGUCCCUCGCGGAUGGAGCUGAAAUCAGUCGAAGAUACCAGCUGGCUGCAACUGUUUAUUAAAAACACAGCACUGUGCAAACACGAAAGUGGACGUAUACGGUGUGACGCCUGCCCGGUGCCGGAAGGUUAAUUGAUGGGGUCAGCGCAAGCGAAGCUCUUGAUCGAAGCCCCGGUAAACGGCGGCCGUAACUAUAACGGUCCUAAGGUAGCGAAAUUCCUUGUCGGGUAAGUUCCGACCUGCACGAAUGGCGUAAUGAUGGCCAGGCUGUCUCCACCCGAGACUCAGUGAAAUUGAACUCGCUGUGAAGAUGCAGUGUACCCGCGGCAAGACGGAAAGACCCCGUGAACCUUUACUAUAGCUUGACACUGAACAUUGAGCCUUGAUGUGUAGGAUAGGUGGGAGGCUUUGAAGUGUGGACGCCAGUCUGCAUGGAGCCGACCUUGAAAUACCACCCUUUAAUGUUUGAUGUUCUAACGUGGACCCGUGAUCCGGGUUGCGGACAGUGUCUGGUGGGUAGUUUGACUGGGGCGGUCUCCUCCUAAAGAGUAACGGAGGAGCACGAAGGUUGGCUAAUCCUGGUCGGACAUCAGGAGGUUAGUGCAAUGGCAUAAGCCAGCUUGACUGCGAGCGUGACGGCGCGAGCAGGUGCGAAAGCAGGUCAUAGUGAUCCGGUGGUUCUGAAUGGAAGGGCCAUCGCUCAACGGAUAAAAGGUACUCCGGGGAUAACAGGCUGAUACCGCCCAAGAGUUCAUAUCGACGGCGGUGUUUGGCACCUCGAUGUCGGCUCAUCACAUCCUGGGGCUGAAGUAGGUCCCAAGGGUAUGGCUGUUCGCCAUUUAAAGUGGUACGCGAGCUGGGUUUAGAACGUCGUGAGACAGUUCGGUCCCUAUCUGCCGUGGGCGCUGGAGAACUGAGGGGGGCUGCUCCUAGUACGAGAGGACCGGAGUGGACGCAUCACUGGUGUUCGGGUUGUCAUGCCAAUGGCACUGCCCGGUAGCUAAAUGCGGAAGAGAUAAGUGCUGAAAGCAUCUAAGCACGAAACUUGCCCCGAGAUGAGUUCUCCCUGACCCUUUAAGGGUCCUGAAGGAACGUUGAAGACGACGACGUUGAUAGGCCGGGUGUGUAAGCGCAGCGAUGCGUUGAGCUAACCGGUACUAAUGAACCGUGAGGCUUAACCUUACAACGCCGAAGGUGUUU